GGGGGGGCAAGCGUUGUUCGGAAUUACUGGGCGUAAAGGGCGCGUAGGCGGCCAGGCAAGUCCUUCGUGAAAUCCCACAGCUCAACUGUGGAACUGCGGAGGAAACUUCUUGGCUUGGGUCCGGGAGAGGGGAGUGGAAUUCCCAGUGUAGCGGUGAAAUGCGUAGAUAUUGGGAGGAACACCGGUGGCGAAGGCGGCUCCCUGGACCGGUACUGACGCUGAGGCGCGAAAGCUAGGGGAGCAAACGGGAUUAGAUACCCCGGUAGUCCUAGCUGUAAACGUUGAGCACUUGGUGUGGCGGGUGUCGACCCCCUGCCCGUGCCCGUAGCUAACGCAUUAAGUGCUCCGCCUGGGGAGUACGGUCGCAAGGCUG
rnacentral:rRNA from 1 species